GCCUGGGUGGCUCAGUCAGUUGAGCGGCUGACUUCGGCUCAGGUCAUGAUCUCGCGGUCCGUGAGUUCGAGCCCCGCGUCAGGCU
rnacentral:tRNA from 1 species